UGCUCUAUUUUCCUAUCUCACUCAGCGACUGAAGCCCACACAAAUACACACUCUAGCUCCCUCUAUUUCUCUCACUCCCUCACCGGUAAACCAACCAUCCACCACCACGUUUGGCAGAUUUCACCGGAGAACCCCAUUAGAAACCCCAUACACUCCAUUCUCUCAAAGCUUUAAAGGUUCCGAUAUUCUUGGUGAUGGACCUAGUGACUAGAUUAGUUGAUUUUGUGGUGCCCGGUUGAGGUAAAAUUGGUUGGCCUUCUGAGGAAGCCUGACAGAUUGCGUCACACUGAAGGAAAGUCUCGGAAUCAUGAAGUCCAGUUUCCUUUUGCCAACUGAAGCGAUGGACAUCAAACUUAACCACUCUUCAAAAUAUUAGGGCAUUUUAUCUAUCAAAAAAAACACCGAAUGAAAUAUUACUACAUUGCAUCCUUUUCCUUUUCCCAAUUUUCUAUCAUAAUUGCCCACUAAGCUAUUUUUUAUGCCCAGCAAAACAUACAAGAAUUCUGAAUUUUUCUUGUAACACAGUCAACUAGUUUUUGGCCCAAGGUCUCUUGUUCUAUCAGAA